rnacentral:ncRNA from 12 species
UAAAAAUGAGGAUAGAGAAUGUGCCGCUAUCGCCCCUUUUAAAAAAGGUAUGGAGAUGUGGGAAAAGGCAGACCCACCGUUUUUU